GGGGCUGAUCGGUUUCGACGUUGGGACCAGGAUGCAACGACGUGCGACCAGAGUUGCUCAGACUCUCAAAACGGGGCACCAACAGAGACGCCGAUUCGGACGAUCUCGCUCUCGCCGCCUGACCUAGUCAGUAGGUAGAGAGUCAUCGCGACCAGCAAUGGCACGCGGGGCCUGACCACUGCAGCCUGUCACCAGAAGCAGUGGUGGACGGUAGGGAAAGACCACUGACAGCCGGCAAAGACCGCUGACCCCGAGGAAAGACUCGGUGGCCGGACCCUCGUGGUCCGCCUGACCCGGCAGGGUGGGAGCCACAACCCACGUUCACGGGAACGGUCGUAUCGCGUCGGGUAACCACCUGACGGACGAGGGUUCGAUUCCCUCCAGCUCCAC
rnacentral:tmRNA from 1 species